rnacentral:rRNA from 1 species
GACGAACGCUGGCGGCGUGCUUAACACAUGCAAGUCGAACGGUGAAGCGCCUUCCUUUUUGGUGGGUGUGGAUGAGUGGCGAACGGGUGAGUAACACGUGAGUAACCUGCCCCCUUCUUCUGGAUAACCGCAUGAAAGUGUGGCUAAUACGGGAUAUUCUGGGUCUGUCGCAUGAUGGGUCUGGGAAAGAUAUUGUUUCGGUGGGGGAUGGGCUCGCGGCCUAUCAGCUUGUUGGUGGGGUGAUGGCCUACCAAGGCGGUGAGGGGUAGCCGGCCUGAGAGGGUGGACGGUCACACUGGGACGGCGACACGGCCCAGACUCCUACGGGAGGCAGCAGGGGGGAAUAGUGCACGAUGGGCGCAAGCCUGAUGCAGCGACGCCGCGUGGGGGAUGGAGGCCUGCGGGUUGUGAACCUCUUUCGCCAGUGAAGCAGGGCUGCCUCGUUUGUGGGUGGGUUGACGGUAGCUGGAUAAGAAGCGCCGGCUAACUACGUG